UACGAAGGGGGCUAGCGUUGCUCGGAAUCACUGGGCGUAAAGGGUGCGUAGGCGGGUUUUUAAGUCAGAGGUGAAAUCCUGGAGCUCAACUCCAGAACUGCCUUUGAUACUGAAAGUCUUGAGUAUGGGAGAGGUGAGUGGAACUGCGAGUGUAGAGGUGAAAUUCGUAGAUAUUCGCAAGAACACCAGUGGCGAAGGCGACACACUGGCCCAUUACUGACGCUGAGGCUCGAAAGCGUGGGGAGCAAACAGG
rnacentral:rRNA from 1 species